rnacentral:rRNA from 1 species
UCCGGUAGGGGGACCUGCGGAAGGAUCAUUA